GAGUUUGAUUAUGGCUCAGGAUGAACGCUAGCGAUAGGCUUAACACAUGCAAGUCGAGGGGCAGCAUGAACUUAGCUUGCUAAGUUUGAUGGCGACCGGCGCACGGGUGCGUAACGCGUAUGCAACUUGCCUUACAGAGGGGGAUAACCCGUUGAAAGGCGGACUAAUACCGCAUACACUUGCUUGGUUGCAUGAUCGGGCAAGGAAAUAUUUAUAGCUGUAAGAUAGGCAUGCGUCCCAUUAGCUGGUUGGUGAGGUAACGGCUCACCAAGGCAACGAUGGGUAGGGGAACUGAGAGGUUUAUCCCCCACACUGGUACUGAGACACGGACCAGACUCCUACGGGAGGCAGCAGUGAGGAAUAUUGGUCAAUGGGCGAGAGCCUGAACCAGCCAAGUCGCGUGAAGGAAGACUGUCCUAAGGAUUGUAAACUUCUUUUAUACGGGAAUAACGGGCGAUACGCGUAAUGCUAUGAAU
rnacentral:rRNA from 1 species